GACGAACGCUGGCGGCGUGCUUAACACAUGCAAGUCGAACGGAAAGGCCCUGCUUUUGUGGGGUGCUCGAGUGGCGAACGGGUGAGUAACACGUGAGUAACCUGCCCUUGACUUUGGGAUAACUUCCGGAAACUGGGGCUAAUACCGGAUAGGAGCUCCUGCUGCAUGGUGGGGGUUGGAAAGUUUCGGCGGUUGGGGUUGGACUCGCGGCUUAUCAGCUUGUUUGUGGGGUAGUGGCUUACCAAGGGUUAGACGGGUAGCCGGCCUGAGAGGGUGACCGGCCACAUUGGGCCUGCGAUACGGCCCAGACGGCUACGGGAGGCAGCAGUGGGGAAUAUUGCACAAUGGGCGGAAGCCUGAUGCAGCAACGCCGCGUGCGGGAUGACGGCCUUCGGGUUGUAAACCGCUUUCGCCUGUGACGAAGCGUGAGUGACGGUAAUGGGUAAAGAAGCACCGGCUAACUACGUG
rnacentral:rRNA from 1 species